CACCAUCAUAGUAUCCUUCUUUUGCUAAAGUAUAGAAAUUUUGACAUGUCUAUAAGUUAGCGAUUCUACUUUCAAAGCAAACAACACUGUUCGUCCUUUAUUCUUGAUGCGUACUUUAGGAGCAUGUUCUGUAUACAAUUCAAUAAGAAUUUUUCCCUAAAAAAUGUUAAAUGCUUGAGCUUGGAAAAGAUCUUACCAAACUUGUUUGUAACUCUACAUUAGCCAUGGUAUUUACUAGUUUUUACACGAU